CCUACGGGAGGCAGCAGUGAGGAAUAUUGGUCAAUGGGCGAGAGCCUGAACCAGCCAAGUCGCGUGAGGGAGUACUGCCCUAUGGGUUGUAAACCUCUUUUGUCGGGGAGCAAAAGCCGGACGUGUCCGGCUGUGAGAUUACCCCAAGAAAAAGCAUCGGCUAACUCCGUGCCAGCAGCCGCGGUACUACGGAGGAUGCGAGCGUUAUCCGGAUUUAUUGGGUUUAAAGGGUGCGUAGGCGGAUUAGUAAGUCAGGGGUCAAAACGUGGGGCUCAACCCCAUCCAGCAGUUGAAACUGUGGAUCUAGAGUAUGAGAGAGGUAUGCGGAAUGAGAGGUGUAGCGGUGAAAUGCGUAGAUAUCACGAAGAACCCCAAUUGCGAAGGCGGCAUACUGGUGCACAACUGACGCUCAGGCACGAAAGCGUGGGUAUCGAACAGGAUUAGAUACCCCGGUAGUC
rnacentral:rRNA from 1 species